CCCGGGCCUGUGCGCUGGCCCGGCCUCCCGGCGGUUGCGCCGCGGGGUGCGGUGCUCCGUAGAAGGGCCUGGCUGGGCGCCUCUAGACACGGUGCCGGGUGACUGGGGAAGGGGACAGCGGCCCCUGCCCAUGGGCCUCGGCCCCGGGCCCGCAGCGAAGGGACUUCCGGCUUCUCCAGAAGGGGGCCCUCCAGCCCUCCUGAGGGGGGCCCUGUGCCUCUGUGGUUGGGGCGCCUCAGGAAGGGGAUCUCCGGCCCCUUGGCCUUGGGUUCUAGGACCCUUCACAUAGCGCAGGGAGCUGUCAGAGAAAAACCGGAGCUGAAAGGUUUAACUCCUGAAAACAGUUUUCAGCAUGUGCACAUAAAUAGACACAAGGAAUCUGGUGCCCCCACAAUACCACCUCUGAAAUGACCUAUCACCUUUAUAAAAGAGAUGCUGAAGAGCAAAGUGGGCCAUGUUUGGAUGACGCUUAAGCAAAUACCUCCUGGAAACCACCCAUCUACUUCCUGUCUCUGGACGUGCCAUUCUGGACAUUUCCUGUAAGUGGACACACACUGUGUGGCCGUCAUGUCUGGCUUCUCUCACUCUGCCUCAUGAGGUUCAUCUGUGGCAUUCCUUUUGGAGGAACCGAUUCUUGUAUGCUGAAUAAUUGGGACGAUUAAGUGACAUCUCAUUUGCAGAAGGGCUGAGUUUAGGGCCUGACACGUACAGGGUGUUUAAUAGUUUCCCUCUUUCCAUGGGUCAUUGGAAUCCAGGGCGAUACCACAUAAGAGGCCCUCACGGGAUCAGUGGCUCCAAGCUCUCCACACACCAGGCUUCUGCAAAGCGCAGAAGAACCAGCAGUGGCAGUGUUAGCCAGUCUGCAUGGUCCCCAGUUCCCCUUGGCUGGUCUGGUAAAUAUCGUAGCAGCCUCUGACUCUCAUUCAGGCUGUGAGGUCGUAAUGCUACUGUCCUGUCUCUGAAGAAAGGUUGGGACAUACAGAAGCCGAUCGUGCCGUAUUAGGACGUCAGUCUGUAAGUGGGCAUGAAAAGCUGCCACGGCAGCAGAAGGCCGAGGCCGACCUCAUGUCUGUACGUCUUUCCCACUGAGGACAGACACCUCGUGCCCUGGGGACCCCCAUGUUCACUGCAGCCUCGUCGCUGCCCUUUCUUUGACCCCGUGGGUGUGACUGAAUCUGGUGGCAGGGCUGCCUGCCUGCAGAGCUGCUUGUAUGGCACACUGUCCCCAACACAGUGGUCACAAAGACCCUGGAAUAAAUAGCAGCACAGAAAUAGAAACAGUUGUAAUCAGGUGCUCCAUAACACAGACUUACCUUAGCAGCACCCAGUUAUCUGGGAAAAGAUAGAGAAUGAUUUUUUUCUAAAUGAGGAAUAUCUAAGUUGAGGGAGGGGGUAGGAUAUAAGGAAAACAUUUGCCACUGAGGUUUUUGGAGAAAAAAAAUUAAAGGCAACCAAUUGAAGAUCACAUAUAUUUUAUUACAAAAACAAAACUCCGGUUUAUGUGAAAUUCAAAUUUUUCCCAAGGGAAAUUAACGAAUACCGUUAAAGCUGAGUCUAGUUUGUAAGGAGCAGUUCAUCCAGAAAGGGAACAAACCCUCUUCCCCGGGAGCAUUUCAAGAUUGCUUCAGAGAUGCCUGCAGUGCAGGGUCAGAAGUGAAAACAUCUUUUUCCUUUAGAGGCCGGUGGUGUUCCUUGAUGGGCGUGGGGGAUUCAGCCCGGCCUGGCGAGGUCUGUGUGGCUGGGGGAUGGUUGGAGGUUUAUGUCGAUGGGAGUAUUUUCACUUACCAUCACACAGUAAACACAAAGAAAAUGCCGUUUUGGACCAAUGCCAUCAUGGCCCAGAAUCAAGACUUUGGUGUGUCACUCUGCUUUCUGCCCAACUGAGUCAAACCCGAACAUGACACUCUCGUCCCAGCGCGAGGCUUGCCGCUCUCGUCAGAAGCAUUAAAUGCUGCCCAGGACUCACGUCUCCUGCUAUUCGUUUAGUUCUUUAAUAAGUGAGACCUUAAACCACACACAAUUUCCAAAAGCCUUUCUUUCAGUAUCUUAAGAAAUGAUUUCCCAGGGAGGAAGCCAUCUCGUUGCCCUGCAUGGAGCCGGCGAAAAGCUGCUGGUCCACAUGGAGGCCCGCUGUGCUUCAUUCACCCUGUUUCCUCUUACAGGGAGAGGACAGAGCCAGUGCUGCACAUCCCGGGGCCACGCCAACGUCUGUUGAGCUGCAUUGUGCCAAGCAAGGGGCUAAGGGUGGGGGGAGGAUGGGCUGGGAGAGAGCAGGCCCUGUCCUGGGCUCGGGUGCCACCUUGCUGCCCACCUUGGACAACCCCUCGCAGCCUGGGCCUCCUGUUCGUUCGUUUGUCGUUUGUCGAAUGGCCGGUGGUUGCCUCCAGUCUACUCCCCGAGCUCCUGCACUGGGAGGGGGUGGAGCUGUGGAGGGGUUCCUUCCUUUGGAGGAAUUGUGACCAGGCGGUCAUCUGGGGCAAGGACUCAGGACAGGGGUGUCACAUUUGGGGGCUGGACUCAGAGUUUUGGAGGCUUUCCCAAAUCCGAACACCUACGGUUCUGUACGUCAUGGUCGAGCUGAAAACCGCAGUGAGAUACUAUUAACUCCUAUGAGAAUGUUCCAAAGAAAACACUAAACCAGACCCAGCAACACCAAGUGCUGGCCAGAGCUGGGAGGGGCGGGAGCAUCCUGUGUGGCUGCUGGGAAUGCAGGUGGUACAGGCACUUGGAAAAGCAGUUUAUGCAUUUCUUAACCAAGGUAAACAGCCAGCAACCCCAUUCCUAGGUAUUGUCCCAGGAGAAAUGAAAGUUUUUUUUAAUAAAAACCUGGACAUGAGUGUU